AUGUAUAUUUUCAAACAAUCACUUGUAUUUUUAUCAUGCAAACUGGCAGAAGGCCCUCCUGUGGAGAACUGCCGUAUCACCCAGCGGCACCUUGUGUAUGCACAUCAUAUGCAGAAUCCUGCUAUAAUGGGUAUUAGUCGGCCAUCUGUGGCUCUUUCUCAUGCAGCAGAAAAGCUCUCCAAUCUCUCAGUGGAUUCAUUAGGCAGAGAUCAGCUCAUCAGUCAAAAUGAUUGUUCACAAGUGACUUCGUCUUUGCUCACUCCUGUUCCUAUAGAAAGCACUCAAAAUAAAUUAUAUGAGUAUAAGUUAUCUAGAGCAGAAAUUCAGUAUAGAUACUUCUCUGCUGAGUGGACGCAAGGACAGCCAAAGACAAAAUUAAACGGUGUUGAGAAGUUGAACAGCUGGGCCACCAGUCUGCCAUAG
rnacentral:rRNA from 1 species